rnacentral:rRNA from 1 species
AGAGUUUGAUCCUGGCUCAGGAUGAACGCUAGCGGCAGGCUUAAUACAUGCAAGUUGAGGGGCAGCAUGAUAUACGCGAGUAUAUUGAUGGCGACCGGCGGACGGGUGAGUAAUAGGUAGGAGACCUACCUCAUACAGGGGGAUAGCAUAGAGAAAUCUGUGGUAAUACCCCAUGAGGUUAUAUGAAUAGAGGCAUAUAAUCAAAGCAUAAGCGAUUAUGCGGUAUGAGAGGGGCCUACUGACCAUUAGCUAGUUGGUGAGGUAAGGGCUCACCAAGGCGAAGAUGGUUAGGGGUUUUGAGAGAGAGACCCCCCACAUUGGAACUGAGAGACGGUCCAGACUCCUACGGGAGGCAGCAGUAGGGAAUAUUGGGCAAUGGGCGAAAGCCUGACCCAGCCAUGCCGCGUGAAGGAAGACGGCCUUAUGGGUUGUAAACUUCUUUACUACGCGAAUAGAGGUUAGUACGAGAUACUAAUAGGAAGGUAGUGUAGUAAAAAGCACCGGCUAACUCCGUGCCAGCAGCCGCGGUAAUACGGAGGGUGCAAGCGUUAUUCGGAAUUACUGGGUUUAAAGGGUGCGUAGGCGGUUAAAUAAGUUGUCAGUGAAAGGCUACGGCUCAACUGUAGUAGUGCUGGCGAUACUGUAUAACUAAGGACAUGGGAGGGGUACCUGGAAUGUGUGGUGUAGCGGUGAAAUGCGUAGAUAUCACACAGAACACCGGAGGCAAAGGCGGGGUACUAGACCAUAGUUGACGCUGAGGCACGAAAGCGUGGGGAUCAAACAGGAUUAGAUACCCUGGUAGUCCACGCCCUAAACGAUGAUCACUAGAUAUUGGCGACAGACAGUCAGUGUCCAAGCGAAAGUGAUAAGUGAUCCACCUGGGGAAUACGGCCGCAAGGUUAAAACUCAAAGGAAUUGACGGGGGCCCGCACAAGCGGAGGAACAUGUGGUUUAAUUCGAUGAUACGCGAGGAACCUUAC